UGAAGCGUCUUCCAAAGGCGCCGCCUUUGGAUUACAACGGUGAUUUUCCAUUCUUCCUGGCACACUUCGGCGAGUUUCUGUCGUCCAGCGUAAAGAACUAUGGUGCACAUAAGUAAAGAUUUGAAGAAUUGUAGCUUCUUCAAUUCUUUGUUCUAUCUUUCUCAAAUCUUCAGCUUUAAAUUCAUUCAACAACCCAUAUAAGGUGUGGUAAUGGAAACUAAGAAAAGAGCAAUGCACAACAAAAAAUCAAAGUUGGAGUUCCACGACUGGAGUUAAAGUUUCUCGUUUUAUGUUUGAACUUUUGGUGGCAAAUUUAUUUCUUUAUGAGUUAAAGUUUCUUUCAUUUUCUGUUUGAACUUUUGUUGGGAGAUCUGUUUCUGUAGGAGUUCAAGUUUUUUUAUUUUGUGUUGAAGUGAGAGUUCGACUAUUGUCAUGCUUUGUUGUUAUAUGGUUGCUUC
rnacentral:lncRNA from 1 species